rnacentral:rRNA from 1 species
GUCUAUUUGGGGGUAUUAAUAGUCUGACCUGCUCACUGACAUUAUAAUGUUAAAGAGCCGCGGUAUCUUGACCGUGCAAAGGUAGCAUAAUCAUUAGUUCUUUAAUUGGGAACUUGUAUGAAUGGUUGGACAAGAGAAAAGCUGUCUCUAUUGUUUAAAUAGAAAUUAACUUUUAAGUGAAAAGGCUUAAAUUUUUCAAGGGGACGAUAAGACCCUAUAAAGCUUUUAUAUGGGAAGUAAAUUUAAUUGAAUUUAAAAACAUAAAAAUUUGGUUUAUGCACUGUAUUUGGUUGGGGCGACGUAGGUAUAAUUUAUAAUAACUGCUUUGAAAUAUUACAAUAAUAUUUGAUUUAUUUCUAAUUGAUCCUUUUUAAAGAUUAAAAGACUAAGUUACUUUAGGGAUAACAGCGUAAUUUUUUUUGAGAGUUCAUAUCGAAGAAAAAGUUUGCGACCUCGAUGUUGAAUUAAAAUGUCUUUAUAGUGCAGCAGCUAUAAAAAGAAGGUCUGUUCGACCUUUAAUUUUUU